CCUACGGGAGGCAGCAGUGAGGAAUAUUGGUCAAUGGACGAGAGUCUGAACCAGCCAAGUAGCGUGAAGGAUGACUGCCCUAUGGGUUGUAAACUUCUUUUAUAUGGGAAUAAAACGUUCCACGUGUGGGAUUUUGUAUGUACCAUAUGCAUAAGGAUCGGCUAACUCCGUGCCAGCAGCCGCGGUAAUACGGAGGAUCCGAGCGUUAUCCGGAUUUAUUGGGUUUAACGGGAGCGUAGGUGGAUUGUUAAGUCAGUUGUGAAAGUUUGCGGCUCAACCGUAAAAUUGCAGUUGAAACUGGCAGUCUUGAGUACAGUAGAGGUGGGCGGAAUUCGUGGUGUAGCGGUGAAAUGCUUAGAUAUCACGAAGAACUCCGAUUGCGAAGGCAGUUCACUGGACUGCAACUGACACUGAGGCUCGAAAGUGUGGGUAUCAAACAGGAUUAGAUACCCCAGUAGUC
rnacentral:rRNA from 1 species